GCCCUGCCUCGUUCAGUCCUUCGCGAAACGUCCACCAAACAGUUUGCUUCCGUCCUCAACGUGGUCCUCCGAUCCUUCUAUUUCCUCGAAGUUCAAAAGUUGACAAGUAUGAGAAGAAUUUUGACCCUCCUGAUGAUGAUGAUGGUGGUGAUGGCGACGCUUCCUAACACAGGUGCCAUCGACUGUUACGCCUGCGAGGGUUACAAUUCCGCCGCCGCCGAGGACACCGCCUCCAACAACAAGUACUGCCCACAAGAGAGCUUCGAUUCUAGCCGAGUUGGAGCCUCUCGGGGAGGGAUCUGUUUUGCUGAAGUCCGCCAGUAUUACGGUCGCAGGGUUACUAAGCGGGGCAUCGGUCUCGGAACCAGGAUGACCCGCGACGCCUCCACCACCACCGUCACAUUCUCCGGCUACUACUGCAACACCAGCCUCUGCAACGCCAUGGACCCUGCCGCCCCCCCCUUCCCCGCCGCCUCGUCCUCCUGUCUCACGCCUCAGUUCCUAGUACUCGUGCCCCUUAUCAUGGCCCUCGGUCACUGCCUGCUGUAAAGGGCCCUCAGAACCUCGAUCCCUUUUUGUGUCUUAUUGUGCUAGGAAGAUGAUUUUGUUUUCUCAUUUUGUAUUCGUCCUUGUCCUCCGCCGCCUCCUCCUACGUAUUAAUGGUGAUACGAUUUAUUUUCCGUCUCUUACUCUAAGGCGCCACCAUUCAUUAUUUCCUAAUCAAUUCUUGCCCUCUUGGCACUGGAAAGGAAGGUAAUUUUACGAGCAAUCUUUUGAUAUUCUUAAGGAUGCUCUACGUGCAGCACAAGCGGAGAUAUAAGCAGGUAAAGAUUUCACCCCCCUCGUGCAACUCUACGGGGCUCACCUACCAUAUUUCCCCAGCGAGGCCUUACACGAAAAAGUUUGAAUAUUGAAAAAUCGUUAUUCCUCCAGCUUAAUGAGAGAGGUUGAUAUACGUGAAGAAAAAAAUACUAGAAUUUCUGGUGCUAUCAGAAUUGCAAUAAGCCUAAAACUGACGGAGUUAUGAACGGUUUUGUGAGAGCCUCCGAAAAUUUUCUAGGCCUAUAACUCUUGAAGCAAUGCGUGUUGCAAUAUGACCGUUUAGUAACUGGUAGAGAAAAUUCCGAGGAACACGCUGGUGCUUUCAGAACUACGCUACCACUAAUGGUUAUAGAGAUAUAUCGAUUUGAAAUUUCGCACUUUUUCGACAUUUGUGGCAACGUCACUCGUUUAUUAUCAAUCCUUUCUUCUUCGUCGAAAGAUAAUAAAAGUGUUAUAUUUUGACGAGGAAUGCAACACUGGUCUCGGAUCUGCGUUACCACCUUUAGUUUCGGAGAGAGCAUGUCAUAUUUUAACCGCCUGUCACGCCUUAACUACUGCAGAUAUGUUUAUGAGAUUAAAUAUCUCGAGGUGACCCGAAACGACCUAUAUUUUGGCGUUAUCAGAUUUAAGAUUUGACGCGUAUUUCCAAAGAUAGCUUUUUUUGCUUAUUUUGCCUGUGUAUUUUUGACCAACUGAUAUCUGAUGUAAAAUUUGACGGAGAAUAAGGUGGCGUCGUCAAAAUGGAGAUAACUUUAAUAGUUAUCAAGAUAUCAUAGCUAAGGCGUUGAUCGGAAUGCUUUGAUUCUGCAUCGAUUCCUGCAUCCAUGUCUAAAUAAUGUCUUAAUAUCGGGCAUAAUUUUGAGAGGGCACAUCACGAGGAAUCCAUUUCUGGUCUUGGUUUUGCGCUAGCUCAAUUAUUAAAGACGUUAUCAGCUAUAUUCUGAGAAAUGGUCGUAACCCUCAAUUUUAUCCUCUCAUUUUUUAUCAUGUUCGUUGCACUCAGCUGGUGUAGAAUUUGACGCUGAACAUUUUGGUGCUUGUUAGAAUCCGAUCAGUAGAGUAUUAACGGAGCUAUGAACGAUUUUGUGUUUCCACCGUUAUGAGACUCCGGUGUUUACGGCCAAAAUUUCACCUCCUCUAAAACGAUCUUUUUUUAAAUAUGCAACUUUCGUUAUUCUUGCCUCCAGCUUGAUCAGAGAGGUUCAUAGACGUGAAGAAAACAAUAUUAGAAAUUCUGGUGCUAUUAGAAUUGCGCUAGGCCUAGAAUUGACGGAGAUAUCCAUGGCUUAAAAAGACGUGCUGAAAUUUUGCCGGCUUAUAACUGCCUUAUUACAGUAAAUUUUUGUAUGCCCGAUUGGCUCCUGGGAGAACCAGUUACGGGGAACACGCUGGUGCCUUCAGAAUGACGUUACGACUAAUAGUUAUGGAGUUAUUAUGAUAUGUUUUUCGCGUUUUUUUUUUAAAUUUGAGCCAACGCCCUUCCUUUAUUAUCUAUCAUUUCUGCUUCGUGGAUGGAUAAUGAAAGUGUUAGAAUUUAACGAGGAACGCAAUGCUGGUCUCGGAUCUGCGCUACCACCUUUAGUUUCGGAGAUAACAUGUCAUUUAUUUAACCGCCUGUCACCCCUUUACUAGUGAAGAUACGUUUAUGGAAAUAAGUAUCGCGAGGUGAACCGAGACGAGCUAUAAUUUGAUGCUUUCAGAUUUAACUUUGGACGUGUUUGUUUGUUUUUUAUUUCUUGAUAUUUCUUGAUGAUCAACUGAUACAAAGUGUAGAGUUUGCCGGAGAACACGAUGGUGCUGUCAGAAUCAAGCUAGCUUUUUUCGUUAUUGAGAUAUACCGGUCCAAAGGUCGGUCCUAACGGUUUUCGCCUGCGCCUCUUGCUGCGUCCAUGUUUUCCUCGUGUUCGUGGGGCUCCCAGGUUGUAGCAUUCGACGCUGAACAUUUUGGUCUUUACUAGAAUCCGAUCGGUUGAGUAUUGACGGAGUUAUCAACGAUUUUGUGUUUAGC